CUAGCUCUGUAUACUGGGGCAUGGCUUACGGAGCGCGCUCUGAAAUAAGCGCUCAUAUUGUCAUAUUCCAACGGAUCGAGUUAGCUCAUCACACCGGCUCAGCUCGAAGAAAAUGUGCAGCUAUUUGUAAUUGAUGUUAUUCCUCUGUAGGGUUUAUUGAGGAUGUCUGUUUCUGGCUCAUGAACCCCGAGUUCUCUAGCAUGUUGGCCUCCAUGGAGUAGCUAGCUAACGUUAGCCAUCUUAAUUAACAUGAAGAUGUCAACAAGUGCUGUCAGGACGCAUACCAUCACUGUUGCUGUAUGCAGCCCGUUGCUGGUUGCUCAAGGGCAGAUGGAGAACGAAGAAUAGAUUGAUCCGUAUAGAACUACGAUCCAAUCAUAAAGUCCAUGAGAAAGCCUGACGAGUGUAUGAAACAAAAUCAUGAAGUGUGAAAAUACACCAAGCAUGACGAAUACUGCCUUUUAUCGUGAUAUUAAUCUAAUCGGAAAACUAAAGGAAAGUCAUCUUCACCGGCAAGUAAUUACCCUAAUGUACCCACCAAGAGGAGGGAAUACAUGCAGGGCUCAGAUCAAGUGGACGUAACCGAGUGCAACAACAAAGUCGAAGGGUUACAAAGAGAGGUGUCUGUGGUUGUCUUAAUCAUAGUGGUCAUCAUCUGCAACAAGCUGUGGUCUACAGUCUCCUUGUUUGUCCAGUUCAAGCAAAUCUUUGCCAUUGGUUUCUCAUCAGUCUGGUCUGGAAUUGGUUCUAUCUCUACAAGGCUAUCACUAUGGCCAUCACCACCUUCUUCAUAGAGCCUCUGAAGCACUUUGGCCAGGGGAUCAGCCAGUUCCUACAAGCCCUCCUCAAGGACAUUAGUGUUUAAAGGCACAGUCAACUUAUCUCGGCAAGCAGUGGCGGAGAUCCAGAAGGUUCUGGAGGGAAUGGACAGCUGGAGAACGGGGACUCUGAACGAUGUCCUCAGCCAGAUCCUGGUGAAUCUCAAACCACAUGACUACAAGGCCUGGAGAUGGCAAUUUGAGGACACCUUUGGUGUGGAGAUCGACACAUCCAUGACGUUUAGAAUGCGUAGUUUAUGUGGUUUGCCUAAGCAAUUUACUGUGGAAAUUUGCAGAGUCACCUUGCGGUCACCAGUCACCUUGCAGAUCCCUGUGCUCCUCACCAUCGUGCUCUCCAUCCUGGUCUUUGUGUACAGCAGCGCCCAGGCUGCCAUCCUGCACGGCAUAUCCAGACACCCUGAGGAACGCCGACAGGCGGUACAGCAAGGACGAGAUCAUCUCGGAGAGGUGGGAGCGUUUCCCCGACGGUGUGCGGCCGGAGGGUUGCUCCAACGCAAAGCAUAUCGACCCUCUAAUGGUAGAGGACCGACAUCCAGGAAGAGGUACUGCAAGAACCAGUUGUAGCUGGAGCCACAACUGAAGGCAAUGACUCACAAGAAGCUUAAUCCUCUCCAGCUAAAGGCAAAUCAAAUAUAGGGGGACGUUGCAUCUGAAUCUAAGGGGGAAGCUGACAGCCAGGCUGUCCAAAAGCUGAGUUCCCUCCCCCCCUCCUAAAACUAGGUGCCUACCACUAUAUAUAUAUAUAUAUAUAUAUAUUAUAUAUGGGCCAAAAUGGUGACUGAAAAUGGUGUUGUAUGAUGCAAGGAACCACUUUGCAAAAUAAAAAUCAUUAUCAUUUAUUAGGCCUAUUAUUACCAUAUAGAGAAUAAGGCUUUGCCUGUCUUAAAAUACAACACUCUCCCUUUUAGGAUGGUUGGCACCUUUUUUAGCCUAUCAAAUAUAGCAGAAUUAAACAAUCAACAGCCUGACCAACUCUAUACAAAGGAGAUGUGUUGUACUGCAUGAGGCAAAUGGUGG